ACAGAAGUUCAAAUCAUUAGGGGUAUCCCCAAAGUCACCUCCAUAAGCCCAAUGCUUACUACCAUCUGAGCUUUCCUUCAACAACCCCUGGUCAACCCAAUCCCAGAUGAAGCCUCCUUGGAGACCAAAUGUGCCAUCAAUUGCUUCCCAAUAUUCAUCUAUAUUUCCACUGCUGUUUCCCAUUGAAUGUGAAUACUCGCA
rnacentral:misc_RNA from 1 species